rnacentral:rRNA from 1 species
AUUGAACGCUGGCGGCAUGCCUUACACAUGCAAGUCGAACGGUAACAGGUCUUCGGAUGCUGACGAGUGGCGAACGGGUGAGUAAUACAUCGGAACGUGCCCGAGAGUGGGGGAUAACGAGGCGAAAGCUUUGCUAAUACCGCAUACGAUCUCAGGAUGAAAGCAGGGGACCGCAAGGCCUUGCGCUCACGGAGCGGCCGAUGACAGAUUAGGUAGUUGGUGGGAUAAAAGCUUACCAAGCCGACGAUCUGUAGCUGGUCUGAGAGGACGACCAGCCACACUGGGACUGGGACACGGCGCAGACUCCUACGGGAGGCAGCAGUGGGGAAUUUUGGACAAUGGGCGCAAGCCUGAUCCAGCCAUGCCGCGUGCAGGAUGAAGGCCUUCGGGUUGUAAACUGCUUUUGUACGGAACGAAAAGACUCUGGUUAAUACCUGGGGUCCAUGACGGUACCGUAAGAAUAAGCACCGGCUAACUACGUGCCAGCCGCCGCCGUAAAAC